UGGGGAAUAUUGCACAAUGGGCGCAAGCCUGAUGCAGCCAUGCCGCGUGUAUGAAGAAGGCCUUCGGGUUGUAAAGCACUUUCAGCGGGGAGGAAGGCGAUAAGGUUAAUAACCUCAUCGAUUGACGUUACCCGCAGAAGAAGCACCGGCUAACUCCGUGCCAGCAGCCGCGGUAAUACGGAGGGUGCAAGCGUUAAUCGGAAUUACUGGGCGUAAAGCGCACGCAGGCGGUCUGUCAAGUCGGAUGUGAAAUCCCCGGGCUCAACCUGGGAACUGCAUCUGAUACUGGCAAGCUUGAGUCUCGUAGAGGGGGGUAGAAUUCCAGGUGUAGCGGUGAAAUGCGUAGAGAUCUGGAGGAAUACCGGUGGCGAAGGCGGCCCCCUGGACGAAGACUGACGCUCAGGUGCGAAAGCGUGGGGAGCAAACAGG
rnacentral:rRNA from 1 species